UGAUUGUGGCAUAGAUAUUGAAUGACACACAAUCACAUAUACCAAGGCAAUAUAUAAAUAUUGAACGACUGAUUAUUUUUCAAAUUAAUUUGUUAAAUCGAGAUCUAUACCAAUCUUAACUAAGUCGACAUACCCAACUUGUUAUCAAGCAUUGGGUUUGUUUGCAAAAAAAUGCUUCAAACUUCAGUAUACAAAAAAAAGAUAACUAUCCCACGCCUGAUGAGUAAGUAAGUAAACUACUAACUAAGAAGCUGUAAUAUACCAUCGUAGAUUUAUUAUCCAUCGACUUGGUAUAUUGUUCCAUGAUAAACAGUAAUUCGAUACUACCAUUCCAUUAGAGGUGAAGUGGUAGUCAUAAAGUUCGUAAUCAAAUCUCGUUCCCAUCGCUCCACUUUAACCACUGCCAUUCGAAGACAGUAAUUGUAUCAAUCUGCACACUGCAUGCAGAGGCAAAGCGGGGAUCUGUGAGCUGCUGCUCGUUGUAACUGAUCAACAUCAGCAACCAUGAACCAUGGUAUCAUCUUUCCCCGACCGUCUUUGCUCGUUUCUUUCUGGGUAAAGUUUUUGCAUUGACAUAGUUCUUGCCUUACCAUCCGCCGCGUUGCACUUGAUGGAAAAGCAAAGAAACGGAACGUAGUUUGUCAGCUAUAAAUACGAUGUACAUCUUAGUUCUCCUCAGUCACGAGUACGACACUUCAACAUCGAAAGCGUGCUCGAACCAAAUUGUCGUAUCGUACAACCACAACUUCUGUAAAAUUCAUUUAAAAAUGAAGCUCUUCCAAGUGUUUCUAAUCCUGUGCGGUUUAAUUGCAUCCACACUGGCCGUCCCGGGACCUCUGCUGCUAAAGAAAGUGAUUGUCAAACAGCCAAUAUUCGUGAAACCCGCCCCCGUCAUCGUCCAUCGACCGAUUGUGGUGAGAAAAUUCGCCUCCCGUGGUGGAUGGUGGUAAUGCGGAUGGGAAGCUACAGGGCCCAUUGAACUUCUCACACUUCGGUACACCGAUGGAGCAAACAAAUCUUAUUAUCGGUCUCCUGGCUGACUUUUACCAUUCCUAUUGCCGCCACUCUCACAAAUCCUCCUGGUGAAGCAUUCCAAAUCACUGCAUCGAUGACAUGAUCCAAUUAGAAUUGUUACCGUGUUACCGAAUGAAGGGCGUUUUAUAUGCAUUCGCACAUACCCAGAAAUUGCUUCAAUUAGACGAAAAGCAGUCCACUCAGCAGCAGGGCAAGCGUAAAACUGACGAGAGCGUACAAUAAAUCGAUUAACAGGAAAGUUCCUGGCAAUCCGUUACGGUUACUACCCUGUUAAACGGCUUGUUGAAGUGUUUCCUGCA